rnacentral:SRP_RNA from 2 species
GCCGGGCAUGGUGGCGCACGCCUGUAAUCCCAGCUACUCGGGAGGCUGAGGAAGGAGAAUCACUUGAGCCCGGGAGGCAGAGGUUGCAGUGGGCCGGGAUCGCGCCACUGCACACUUCAGCCUGGGCGACAGAGUGAGACUUCGUCUCAA